rnacentral:lncRNA from 1 species
AGGUGGUGUUCCUGCUGCUCUGCCAGGGACCAGGGCCCGUGACCCUCGCAGAUGCGGCGGCCACCGCUCCCUCAGCUGGGCCCACAGCACUGGUCAGCAGGACAGAGCGCAAGGACGAGCGAGUUCCCACCUCUGUUUGCACCCAGAGGUGGACAUCGGAAAGGUCCAGGAGACGGCAAGCACCUGUUUAUUUUUAAGCACUUCUUAAUUGGUUGGAUGGCAUGGGCAUUUGGACAGCCAGGAAGGCAGUGGAUGCUCCUCAACAAGCGCCUUCCGCUGCUCGCUCAAGUUCAGCGAAUUCUUCCAUCAUCAGCUCCUCCUUCUGGUCCUCAACAAGCUCCUCGGUCUGCACCAUCGGUCUCCAGGCCCAGACUCCCGCUCAUGACACAACCUCCUCCACUGCCUGUGCCUCAGAGCCUUCACAGUCACGCUCAGUGACACACUCCGUGCAGUUUUCUCCAGGCCCGAUGGGGACACAGAGCUGUGUUACAUCAUGUCAGACGGCAAUCGACGCGCUGCUAACACAAGCUGACAAGAAGGCCCUAGCAAUCUGCUUAUCUGGAUCCUGCCCUUGCUGAGUAAAGGCCACUAUCAGAAUUAUUCACACGGAAUUACAGCAGCUGGGAGUCUGCAGAGUACUCAUUACAUCACCCUCAGCCUGACAAGACUCCAAGCUCAUAAACGUGGAGAGCCACGGCCAUCGACCUAGAGCUCAUAGAAGUAGAUUUCUUCACACAAUGGGAUGCAACAUGGAAGUCCUGUCAGCUCCCAACACGUAUGCAAACCUGAGCUAAUUGCUCCCAGAAGCACGUUGACGCUGGAUUCAAAGCUGAUUUUUACCUCCCAGAGUGUUUGGGUGACCUGGCUGGGGGAAAGAGGGUUGUGGAUAAACUUUUUGCUCUUGGAGACCCAUCUUUAAAACCACACUGGCCUUCUAGAUAAAUCAUUUAAUUUUCAUUGUUUAAGAAAAAAAUAUUUCAGAGACUGAAAUCAGUUGUAAGUGGGCAUGGGGAACUGCACCAUUUUCCUCUCUCUGGCAAACAUUGCUAGGACUUUUCCCAAAGACUGAAGUUAUCCGUCACUCUGCUCCCGAGGACCAGAGCUCCUCCCAGACAUUUCCAGGCCCUGGAGAGGAGGAUGAGCCCAUAAUGUGGUAGGAGUAGAGUAAGGGUGACUUUGGAAUUCAGCAGCCUUGCACCUUCAGGAGAUAAUUCUGUUCACCUCCUUGCAGCCCACCUGCUUUCCUGGGAGGCGUUUGCUGUCUGGAGGUCGCUGCGUUUUUGUUAGUUACGCGUGCGUGCAGGUAAUGCUUGGCAGAGCACCAAGCCCAGAGAGUCC